GAUGAAGAACGUAGCGAAAUGCGAUAAGUAAUGUGAAUUGCAGAAUUCAGUGAAUCAUCGAAUCUUUGAACGCACAUUGCGCCCGCUGGUAUUCCGGCGGGCAUGCCUGUUCGAGCGUCAUUUCAACCCUCAAGCCCCCGGGUUUGGUGUUGGGGAUCGGCUCUGCCCUUCUGGGCGGUGCCGCCCCCGAAAUACAUUGGCGGUCUCGCUGCAGCCUCCAUUGCGUAGUAGCUAACACCUCGCAACUGGAACGCGGCGCGGCCAUGCCGUAAAACCCCAACUUCUGAAUGUUGACCUCGGAUCAGGUAGGAAUACCCGCUGAACUUAAGCAUACAAUAAGCGGAGGA
rnacentral:misc_RNA from 1 species